GUGUAUAACGAUGCCACUGGGGAACAGAUUUUGCCUUUCGUCUCCUUGAUGUUCUUUUGAGGUCUUUCAAGUGAAAGGAAUGAUUAAGCAAGCUGUUUUCAUCUACACUGAGUCACUUUCAGCAGACCUCUAGCUGUGCACAAAGGAUUGCGAAGACUGCUCCAGAGAGAAAUCCACACAGUUCAGCCAAGCCAGCCGGUACAUGUACUACUUUGCCCUACUACACACCAGUGUCUUCCAUGUAAUGCAGCUUUCAGAAGUGGAGCACAGAGGAAGGGAUAAAGAAAGAAGAUGGUCAGUGGGAUCUGAGGCUGAGGAUUAUGGAGAACUGUGUACUCAGAGUCUGAAGCUGACACACAACCACAGGUAUGGGGAGAUACAGAUUCAGGGCUGCAAGUGGAGAGCAAAUGAAGCAUGAAAGUGGUAAGUCUGAGUGCCUUAGUGAGGUUAUGUACAUAUUUUAGA